rnacentral:rRNA from 1 species
GAAGCUGGAAUUGCUAGUAAUGGCAGGUCAGUAUACUGCCGUGAAUACGUUCCCGGGCCUUGUACACACCGCCCGUCACACCAUGAGAGUUGGGAAUACCCGAAGCCUGUGAGCUAACUUAUAGAGGCAGCAGUCGAAGGUAGAAUCAAUGAUUGGGGUGAAGUCGUAACAAGGUAAC